UCUAUAGGCUAAAAUGCCCCCCGGGGAUGCAACAGGAAGUGGAGGAGUACCCCAGGUCGGGGGCCGUUGGGUCCGGUCACUGUUUGUUUCUUGACUUUAAUUUAGCGUGGGGAAGGUCAGAGACUAUUGGAGAAACCAGGGAAGUAACAUCGGAUGAUGAAAUACAACAAGGUAGAGCAAGGCCGCCGGGACAAGGUUGAAAUAUGAGAAAGGAGAGAAAAGAGAGAGGAACAGACAGAGAAAGAGACAGACGGACCCAGAGGGGGGAGUAGAAGGGGCUGGUUGACUUCUUAUUUCUCUGGGUGUGGGUGUGCAUUGUGUGAAACGUGAUCGCGUCCCCGAGUCUCUGGGACAGCUGGGAAGUCACUCCAGCCUUUCCCAGGCCUGAGCUCCUCCAGCUGGGAACACUCUGGGACGAGGCUGGGCCGGAGCCGGCAGCCUGGGACUGCUGCUGCACACUCAGCUGUGGGGUUAACCCUUCAGAGCACAGCAAGACGGCACACACCCACACACACACACACACACACACACACACACACACACACACACACACACAAGCAAGAUGUAUGCAAUGCGUGUGCGUGAGGACGUUACCUGA